UGUGAGCUUAUGUAGUUCUGAAAUGUUUGUAGAGCAUUCUUCCUCUUGAAAAGUUGUGUAAUGUGUGCUCCCCGUCAGCGAUCUGUCGUGUAGUUUACACACAACAGCAGCGAGAUGAUCCUCCAGACAGUCGUGAGUGUGAACCCGGCAGAACUUAAAGAAGAGAGGAGACUCUCUGUCUGUGAGACUUGCUCAGAAUAGAUUUGCCAUUCAUGAAUGUAACAAACCCAGGGGUCUGAAGAGAAGUGAGUGACGCAUAAUUAGAUAAUAACACAAUGGACAGUAAUUCUUUAUAGUAACAUGUAUGAUGUGAUUUCUCAGGUGAUGUCCCAGAACAAACCAGACAGCAGUCGUUACAGUGGGAGAAGUAUCUGAUCUCCUGU
rnacentral:lncRNA from 1 species